UGCCGCGUGAAGGUUGAAGGUCCUCUGGAUUGUAAACUUCUUUUAUCUGGGCCGAAAACGGGAUUUUUAUCUCAAUUGCCGGUACCAGAGGAAUAAGCACCGGCUACCUCCGUGCCAGCAGCCGCGGUAAUACGGAGGGUGCGAGCGUUAUCCGGUUUUACUGGGUUUAAAGGGUGCGUAGGUGGGCUUAUAAGUCAGUGGUGAAAUCUCCGAGCUUAACUUGGAAACUGCCGUUGAUACUAUAAGUCUUGAAUGAUCGGGAGGUAAGCGGAAUAAGUCAUGUAGCGGUGAAAUGCGUAGAUAUGACAUAGAACACCAAGUGCGAAGGCAGCUUACUACAUAUAAAUUGAAGCUGAGGCACGAAAGCGUGGGGA
rnacentral:rRNA from 1 species